UCGAGCGGUAGAGAGAAGCUUGCUUCUCUUGAGAGCGGCGGACGGGUGAGUAAUGCCUAGGAAUCUGCCUGGUAGUGGGGGAUAACGUUCGGAAACGGACGCUAAUACCGCAUACGUCCUACGGGAGAAAGCAGGGGACCUUCGGGCCUUGCGCUAUCAGAUGAGCCUAGGUCGGAUUAGCUAGUUGGUGAGGUAAUGGCUCACCAAGGCGACGAUCCGUAACUGGUCUGAGAGGAUGAUCAGUCACACUGGAACUGAGACACGGUCCAGACUCCUACGGGAGGCAGCAGUGGGGAAUAUUGGACAAUGGGCGAAAGCCUGAUCCAGCCAUGCCGCGUGUGUGAAGAAGGUCUUCGGAUUGUAAAGCACUUUAAGUUGGGAGGAAGGGUUGUAGAUUAAUACUCUGCAAUUUUGACGUUACCGACAGAAUAAGCACCGGCUAACUCUGUGCCAGCAGCCGCGGUAAUACAGAGGGUGCAAGCGUUAAUCGGAAUUACUGGGCGUAAAGCGCGCGUAGGUGGUUUGUUAAGUUGGAUGUGAAAUCCCCGGGCUCAACCUGGGAACUGCAUUCAAAACUGACUGACUAGAGUAUGGUAGAGGGUGGUGGAAUUUCCUGUGUAGCGGUGAAAUGCGUAGAUAUAGGAAGGAACACCAGUGGCGAAGGCGACCACCUGGACUAAUACUGACACUGAGGUGCGAAAGCGUGGGGAGCAACAGGAUUAGAUACCCUGGUAGUCCACGCCGUAAACGAUGUCAACUAGCCGUUGGAAGCCUUGAGCUUUUAGUGGCGCAGCUAACGCAUUAAGUUGACCGCCUGGGGAGUACGGCCGCAAGGUUAAAACUCAAAUGAAUUGACGGGGGCCCGCACAAGCGGUGGAGCAUGUGGUUUAAUUCGAAGCAACGCGAGAACCUUACCAGGCCUUGACAUCCAAUGAACUUCUAGAGAUAGAUUGGUGCCUUCGGAACAUUGAGACAGUGCUGCAUGGCUGUCGUCAGCUCG
rnacentral:rRNA from 1 species